CAGAAUUCCGCGAAUCAUCGAGUUAUUUGAACGCAAGUUGCGCCCGAGGCUCGUCCGAGGGCAUUCCUGCCUGAGCGUCAU
rnacentral:rRNA from 1 species